AAAGAAUCGGAGAAACUAGCCAGCAGCCCAAAUUGCAGGCCGCCCGUAGACUCGCAAAAGGCUGAAGUAGGGUAGGGUUUCUCUGAGUUCUUUUAUAUCGACUCAUUUCUUCCUCACACGUAGUGUUCCACCAAAAACCAAACAACGCGACCUUUCCCAUGGAGCAAGUAGACGAAGAAUUAUCCAAAUCCAUCAGCAAGAAAGCGGCCAAGAAGGAGGCCGCUAAGCAAGAGAAGUUACGCCGCCGCCAGGAAGCUGCGUUAGCCUCCGCCGCCGCAUCGCUCGCCAUUGGGGAGGAGGAAGAUCCAUUGGCUGUCAAUUAUGGUAAUGUGCCGCUGUAUGAGCUACAAUCGAAGGAGGAGACGGAUCUUAGCGAGUGGACUAGAGUUGGGGACUUAAGCGAGGGGUUGAAGGAUAAUAAGGUGUUAAUAAGGGGCCGGGCGCAGACGACUCGUGCAGUGGGUAAGAAUAUGGCAUUUGUGGUGGUUAGACAGAAAGGAUUCACUGUGCAGUGCGUGGUUACUGUUCAGCCUGACUUGGUUAGCCGGCAAAUGGUGAAGUUUGUAGCCGGGCUGAGCCGUGAGUCCAUUAUCGAUGUUCAAGGCUUGGUUUCUGUCCCUUCUGUGCCUAUCAAAGGCACUACACAGCAGGUUGAAGUCCAAGUCAGGAAACUCCAUUGUAUUAGCAAAGCUAUGCCAACUCUACCCAUUAAUAUUGAGGAUGCAGCUAGAAGUGAGAAAGAAAUUGAGGAAGCUUUGCAGGCUGGAGAACAACUUGUUCGUGUUAACCAGGAUACACGUCUGAAUUAUAGAGUUCUGGACAUGCGAACACCUGCUAACCAAGGAAUUUUCCAUAUUCAGCAUGAAGUUGGCAGUGUGAGAUUCUUCUUUCUUUCUUUCUUCUCACUCUCUAUCUAGUUUUUUUCUCUUUUGAUGCUAAUGUUGCCCACACUUACCAUUGCAUAUUUGAUUUAUAAGUUAGAUAAUUUUGGAUUAAAAACUUUUUUCCUGGAAAUAUAUGAGUAUGCUUUUGAAUUAUUCCAUGCAGAAUUUGUUGUUGGUUACACUAGAAAGAGAGAGACUAAGAGAACCUGAUGAGAAUCAAGCUACAUCCACGCCAAAGGAUUUCAUCCAAGGUCCAAUUACUAAAGCUAGAGCUAAAUCACUUCAGAAUUUAAUUUGUGAAGUCUUAGGAGCAAGGAUUAUAAGCUGAAAUGGCAUGAAGAAAAUUAUAAAGGAUUAAAUUUGGUGAAAAUUAAGCUUGGAAGUGACCAGGUGUCAUGUGGAGCAUUAGGUUACAUGGAAUAACCUGUGGACAUGCAUGCACCAGAUCCAACUCAUGUACAUGCAUCUGCUGGCACCUUUUUCAAGGAAUAUUCCUUGCUGUUAUAACCACCUCUCUUUUGGACUUAAAUGCCCUUAUUUGCUGCUGUAUUAAAUUUGCUUUUUGUUGGGAGUUUUUAGUCUUUUGAUAGAUUAAUUUUUGUUUGGACUUAAAGCUCCUUACAGCUGUUACUAAAGUAGGGAUAUUUUUGUCUUUAGCUUUGAAGCCAAGAGGCUAUAAAUACAAGUGUAAUGAGAGAGUGGAGGACACACUUGAAUAUUAAUGAGAGAUUGUUUCUGCUCCUCUAGUGAGUAAAUUGGCUGUUGCCUUUUUUCUUGUGAAGCUCAUUAACUUGCUCAGAUUCUAUCUUGCAAGGUUUAAUGUGCAUAAUAUUCUUGGUUUAUUCAUUCUCCAUAUGAAUUAGGUCAAGAAUCCCAUUUCUGAUAUUUUCUUUGAAUUACACAACAAUCUGAUUGUGCUGGUUCAAAGAUUCAAAUUCAUACAUCUUGAUUUGGUGCUUUCCAUAUUGUUCAUUUAAUUCUUGAAUGUGGGUUUUCAAGUUACCAAUUACUUGAAGGUUCACAUCAGUUUUUGGUAUCAGAGCAAAGGGACGUCCAAACAAGGUAGAUUCUCUAUUUGCUUUUUAUUCUUUGUGUUUCUUACCUUCUUCAUAUUUGCUGUUUGGCUCUUGGGGUUUAGUUGGACCUGUUUGUUUAAAAAUUUGUUUUGUUGAGUUUGUCUUAGGGUUUUGGGUUAAUCAAGCCAAAGCCAUUAUUCUAGCCAUCCAUCUUGCUUCCUUCAUUUUGAUAUCAAGCAUAAGAGAUUAAUUGGGUCAUUGAGUUCGACUUACCAAUUUGGCCUGAAACUGUACCAGCAAUAUUUGGGUAUGUUUAAGACAUUGGGUGUAAAUUUUGGGGGUUGUUUGAUAUCGUUUGCCUGCUGAACCAAAAUUUUGCGGCAGACCCGAUCAAAUUAAGUUUACAUAGCAAAUCAGCCCCGAAAUUCCUGAAAAUUUACAGGCCAUUUGUGCCACAUUUGAGCUAUUCUCAAAUUAAAUUUCAGCUCAAAAUUUAAUCGUUUGUGUGGGGAACCAAAAUUUUGCGACAGAUAUAAUUAAAUUUAGUUUACACAGUAAAUCUACCAAGAAAAGCCUAAAAUUCUAACAGCAAUUAGUCAGUUUUGGGUUGCAUUUGCCUACUCAAU
rnacentral:misc_RNA from 1 species